GUGCCAGCCGCCGCGGUAAUACGAAGGGGGCGAGCGUUGUUCGGAAUUACUGGGCGUAAAGGGCGCGUAGGCGGCUCUUUAAGUUAGGCGUGAAAGCCCCGGGCUCAACCUGGGAACUGCGCUUAAGACUGAAGAGCUAGAAAACGGAAGAGGGUAGUGGAAUUCCCAGUGUAGAGGUGAAAUUCGUAGAUAUUGGGAAGAACACCAGUGGCGAAAGCGGCUACCUGGUCCGGAUUUGACGCUGAGGCGCGAAAGCGUGGGGAGCAAACAGGAUUAGAUACCCUGGUAGUCCACGCCGUAAACGAUGCCUGCUAGAUGUCGGGGGGUUGCCCCUCGGUGUCGCCGCUAACGCAUUAAGCAGACCGCCUGGGAAGUACGGUCGCAAGAUUAAAACUCAAAGAAAUUGGCGG
rnacentral:rRNA from 1 species